rnacentral:rRNA from 1 species
GACGAACCGUACAAACGUUAUUCGGAAUUACUGGGCUUAAAGGGUGCGUAGGCUGUGCGGAAAGUUGGGUGUGAAAUCCUCCAGCUCAACUGGGGAACUGCGCUCAAAACUACCGUGCUCGAGGAAGACAGAGGUGAGCGGAACUUAGGGUGGAGCGGUGAAAUGCGUUGAUAUCCUAAGGAACACCGGUGGCGAAAGCGGCUCACUGGGUCUUUUCUGACGCUGAGGCACGAAAGCUAGGGGAGCAAACGGG